CCCCAAAGUGAAGUGCCGCCCAAAUAUCCAUUGGAAUUUGCCCUAAUUUACACACUUCAGAGAAUAGGCGAAUCGAUCUGCACACCAUGAAGCCGCCGGCGAUUCGAUCCGCAGACUGUGAAUCAGCGUCGCUUUUCUUCUGGUUCAGGGGGACAAAUUUAAUUUUCUGAAGCAUAAAAGAGAAAGAAGUUCCUCAUUGUUUCACAACAGAUGGUGAUUAAAUAUUUGUUUUAUUCCAUUAAUGAACUCAUUGUUUUAUUACAAACCAGAUAAAUACAAAUAAUUGUCUUUCAAGUUUUAAAGUCCCUAAGGCACGAGUCCAUCCUAUGUGUAGCAUGCAUCAACAAUCAUCACAUAGUAGCACCUGAAACAUAUGUGAAAAUAGGUGCGGAAUUACAAGAAACGGAGUUAGAAAUAGCUAAUUCUUCACUAAAACUGCUGAUUGUAUUGAUUAACACUCGAUUACACGUAGUUCAUCACACCGGCAGCACUUCGGCAUGGAAUACAAGACAAUUGAUCUGGUUUCGCUCAUAUGAAUACCUAUAUAUAGUUGCUGUGGUUUCGCUUAUAAGUACCUGUCCACAUAAGCGAAACCCCUAUGUUCACAUAACCGAAACCUCUAGCCUAUGACCAUAUGAGCGAAACCUGCUCACUAAUUACAUACAUUUUCAGUUUUCUUGUAAAACGCGCCCUAAACAAUACAAUACAAUGUAAGACUCGAUACAAGACGAAGUCGACAGAUGUAGUGUACCAACAGACUCCCCCUCAGAUGUUGACGAGUUGACUAUCGAGUCACGACAUUACUGUUUCUUCACUUCUUCAGUCUUGAUCAGUCUCUAAUGCAACUUAAUUCAACAUAAAGGUUGCAUUAAAAGAUAUAAUGUAACCUUUUCACAAAAAAGUUACAAAAUAUUAUUAAAAUUGCAACUUUUUUAUUUAAAUGUUGCAUAUUUUACUAAAAAUUGCAACUUUUUCUUUAAAGGUUGCAUGUUUUAUUGAAAUUUGUAACUUUUGUUAUAAAAGUUGCGUUGUUAAAACUUGAAUGCAAUUCUAGUGUUAAAAGGUUGCAUAAUUCAAUUAGU
rnacentral:lncRNA from 1 species